GCUGGAUUCGCUAGUAAUCGCGCAUCAGCCAUGGCGCGGUGAAUACGUUCCCGGGCCUUGUACACACCGCCCGUCAAGCCAUGGAAGCCGGGAGUGCCUGAAGUGUGCAACCGCAAGGAGCGCCCUAAGGUAAAACUGGUGACUGGGGCUAAGUCGUAACAAGGUAUC
rnacentral:rRNA from 1 species